ACAGAGGCGAACCUUCGGCGACUUCACGCGGAGGUAUGUUGCCUAGGGGCUGGGUUGUCUUCUCCGCAGAGCAGAGCCUGGUAACCUCCACCUCCGGCUGCGUCCUGUGUGCUGCUGGCUGGAGAAGGUUCUAAAGACCAGAAUUCUAAAGUCAGUUCCACUGACUCAAGGUGGGAGCAGGGCAGGUACCUUCCGAGGCUCUGUAGGAGAAUGAGUUUCCUGGCCCUGGAGAUGUCCUGCACUCCUCAGCUUGUGCUGCCCUUCUUGAAUGACUCGAGGUUCCUGCUUCCAUCACUACGCUUCCCAUCACUCUCCAUCACCUGCUCUGCUCUGAUAAGGAUCUGGAAAUGGAAUGAUCGUGUCGCUGAUCUGUGUAAACACAUGGAAGAAUUAUCUGAAAGAAAAUAUGAGAUGCAGUUUUGCCAUGUUGGCCAGCCUGGUUUCCAAUUCCUGAUCUCAGGCGAUUCACCUGCCUUGGCCUCCCAAGUGCCAGGAUUACAGGGACAUGAACUUACGCAUUCAAUAACUGAAGAUUUACAGCUUGAUAAACCAGCUUCAGCAGUAAAGGAAGAAUAGUGUGCCAGAAUCACCAAAUUAAGAAAGACAGUGGAUCAGCUUUUCUGCAAAAAUUUUGAAUUUAAAAAAAGUUUUAUCUUUGAGGAUCUUUGAAGAUCUCUUUUAAGACCAAAACUUUGAAGCACGUUUAAAUGAUUUGUAUGUGGAAGGACUACUGGAAACCAUUUUUUUCAGAAGUCCCUUGUGAUAUGGAAUUCCAAGGCUGGAAAACAUCUGCCAAGUGGGCAACUGAAUUAAAUUUUUAUUGAAAGACCAGAACUUCUUACUCACAACACAACUGAAGUUACUCAGCCAAGAACAAAUACAACAGGAGGAUGGAGUCUUGCUCUGUUGGCAGGCUGGAGUGCAGUGGCACAAUCUUGGCUCACUGCCACCUCUGCCUCCUGGGUUCAAGCGAUUCUCUGAUUUCAGCCUCCCGAGUAACUGGGACCACAGGCGUGUGCCACCACACCCAGCCUUACAGUCCCCUAAAAGACCAUGAAACCCUGCGAGUAAUGAAAAGAUUCCUGAAAUUGAGGUCACUGUGGAAGGGUCUUGCUCCGUUGUCCAGGCCAGUGGGGCUAUCCCAGCUGAUUGCAGCCGUGACCUCCCCAGUUCAAGCUGUCCUCCCAGCUCAGCUUCCAAAAUGGACGAGACUGUAGGUGCUUGCCACUAUACCCAACCAGUACUUGGACUUUUCCUAUAUGUGGGUUCCAGAGGGCUGACUGCAAAACAUGGGACCAUCUAGUCACAGGAAAACAAGCUUAACGUGCCUACUAAUUCUACAAUAUGGUGAGUUCUAUAAUUAUUUCGUUAUAUAUCACAACGUAAUAGUGGAAAUAAAGUGCCAAAUAAAUGUCAUGUGCUUGAACUUUUGGCUCUGCUCCUACCUCCUGACAGCCUCUCCAGGCCCAGAACUUUUUCCAUGUCGGCCUCUACAGGCCAAGCUCAUGGCUCACAGUGGCCUAUUUAGGUGCAUACCCUACCUCAUGGUAGCCUCCUCAAAUGAGGCUACUGCCUCAUGGCAGCCUCCACAGGCCCAGGUUCAUCAUUACAGUGGCCUCUUUAGGCCCAGCUCCUGCCUCCCUGCCUUUUCUCCAGGCACAGAACUUUCUCAAGUCAACCUCACCAGGCCCAGCUCCUGCCUCUCAUCGGUCUCCCAAGGGCAAGCUUUUGCUUCAUGGCCACCUUCCAAGACCCAUUUUCUGUUUUACGGCGGCCCCAAACUGCCUCAAGUCAAGCUCUUCAGGCCCACCUUCAGCCUUCCGAUGACCUGGACAGGCCCAGCUCUUGCCUCCCAGUGGCCUCUGCAGGCCUAGCUUUUGCCUCACAGGUAUUCCUUGAACAGGUUUCUACUUGCCUCCUGGUAGCCUUGACAAGCCCAGGUCUUGCCUCACUCUAACCUCAUUAGGACCAGCUCACCGUGGCCUCUCCAGACCCAGCAUCUGUCCCCUGACAGACUGUCCAGGCCGAAACUUCUUCUAGUCACCCUCUUCAGGCACAGCUCCUGUCUCACACUGGACUCUAAGUACAGCUCAUGCCUCUCGGCGGCCUCUUGGGGCCCAGUUCCUACAUCUCUGUGGCCUCUCGAGACUGACAGAUUUCUCAAAUCUGCCAUUCCAGGUCCAACUCCUGCCUCUAGUCGGCCCCGAUAGGCCCAAACUCUGCCUCACAGCAGACACCCCAGGCCAAGCGUGUGCCUCACCACAGUGCCCCCAGGCCAAGCUCCUGCCUUUCAGCAGGCCCAGCAACUGCCUCCCAGUGGCCUGUGUAGGUGAAGCUCAUGCAUCACAGCGGCCAUUCUGAUCGAGGUUUUACUUUUUGGCAGUGUCUCCAGGCCCAGAACUUCCUGAAGUGGGUGUUUCCAUGUCCAGCUCUUCCUCCCAGUUGCAUCUCCAGGACCAACUCCUGCCUGACACCCUCCUUUGGAUCAGCUCCUACACAGCUCUUGGUGGCCUUCGUAGGCCAAAAACUUUCUCAACUCAAGUUCCCCAGCAGAAACUUCUGAGGAGCAAUGGCUUAAACAGGCAUAGCUACUGGAUGACAAUAGACUCUCCAGGACCAACUCUUACCUCAUGAAGGUUUUCCCUGUCAAAGCUCUUGCCGGCCUCCCAGCAGCAUUGAGAGGCCCAGCUGCUGCCUAACCCUGACUUGAUUAGGCCAAGCUCCUACCCACUAGGUGGCCUCUCCAGGCUCAAAACGUCCUCAUGUGGGCUUGUUGUGGGCCAGCUCCUGCCUCCCAAUGGCCCUCUUGGACCCCGUCAGCCUCUCCAGGAGACCCAGCCUCUGAUCACUCCUGGCGGCAUCCUCAGGCUUGGCUCCUACUCCUGGCCACGUCUACAGGCCCAUGUCCUGCCUCCCGACAGCCUCUUUUGAUUCGGCUCCUGACGAGCUGCCGGUGGCCUGGAUAGGCCAAGCUACCCCUUGACAGUGUCCUCUCCGGGGCCAGAUCUGGCAUCCCCGCAGCCUUCCCAGGACGAGCUGCUACCUGCCAAUGGCUUCCCCAGGCCAAGAUCCUGACUGCCUUCCUGCCUGCAUCCUGCCUCCACAGGCCCACCACCUCCCUCACAGUGGCCAUUGGAGCCCAGCUUGUGCCUGUGGCAAACCUCUCCGGACCCAGCUCUCACCUCACGCUGGUCUCGGUCUCAGCCCAUGUCCUCCCUCGCAGCGGCCUUCCUCAGCCCAGCUCGCCUAUCACGGUCUCUCCCAGGCCAGCUCCUGACUCUUGGCGGCCUGUCCAGGCCCGAAGGUUCCUCUCCGGGCCCGGCCUCCCCAGGCCCGGCUUCUGCCUGCACCAGGCCCCUACGGGCCCAGCCUCCACCUUUCAGUGGACCCUCCAGGCCAAGCUCGUGGCAUCACCGUGGCCUCUGCUCAGGCCAGCUUCUGCCUCUGUGACAGCCUGUAUCCACAGGCCCCACCCCCGGCCUCCCCAUGGCCCCAUCAGGCCAAGCCGGUGCAUCCCGGUGGUCCUCCAGGCCCUGCAUUGGCCUGCUGACAUCCUCCCUGGGCCCAGAACGACUUGAGGUAGGCCUCUGAGAGCCUAGCUCCACCUCUUGGCAGCGUCUAUGGGCCCAACUUCCGAAUUUGCCUCGCAACAACCUCUUUGGACUCCUGUCCAGCUCCCGACAGCUGUUGUAGGCCCGAAAGCUCAGACCAUCGACUCAGGCUCUCCAGGCCCACCUGGCUCAUGCUUCACACUGGCCCAGCUCCUGCCCUCCUGGUAUCUCCUCCCCAUGGGCACAAAACAUCACGUGGGCCCUGCCAGGGCCAGAUCCUGCCUACCAAAGGCCCCCUGGGCCCAGCUCCUGCCUCCUAUCAGCCUAUCUGGGAGGUCCGGCCUAUGUCUUCUUUCUGGCGGACUCCCCAGACCCGGAUCCUCCUCCUGGCCACGUCUUCUGGCCCACGUCCUGCCUCCCGGCAGCUUUUUUAGGCUCGGCCGCUGGCCAGCUUCCAGUGGCCUUUCAUCUCUCGGCCGGAAGCGUUCUGAAGUGGGGCUUUCUGGGCCUCCGUUCUGCCUCCUGGUGGCCUUGACAGGCCCUGCUACCGUCUGACAUUGGCCCUUCGAAAUCCAGCUCUGGACUACUCAUAGCCCUCCCAGCAGCAGCUGCUAGCUGCUGGCGGCUUCCCCAGGACAAGAUUCUGCCUUCCUGCCGGCCUGCCUCCUUCCUCCACAGGCCCAGCACCUCCCUCACACUGGCCCAUUGGAGCCCAGCCCUUGGCUAUGGAAAACCUCUGUAGACCCAGCUCUCACCUCAUGCAGGCCUCGGUCCUCCCUUGCAGCGGCCUUCCUCAGCCCAGCUCACCUGUCACGGUCUCUCCCAGACCAGCUCCUGCCUCCCAGCGGCCUGUCCAGGCCCAAAGCUUCCUCUCCGGGCUUGGCCUCUACAGGCCUGGCUUCUGCCUGCACCAGGCCCCACUGGGCCUAGCCUCCACUUUUCAGUGGACCCUCCAGGCCCAGCUCGUGGCAUUACCAUGGUUGCUCAGGUCCCGCUCCUGCUUCUGUGGCAGGCUGUAUCCACAGGCCUUACCCCCGGCCUUCCCAUGGCCCCCUCGGGCCAAGCCAGUGCAUCCCGGUGGUCGUCCUGGGCCCAGCGUUGGCCUUCUGGCAUCCUGUCCGUGUCCGGAACGUCUUCAGGUCAGCUUCUUGGGGCCCAGCUCCUCCUCACCGCGGCAUCUGCAGGCCCAACGUGCGAAUUUGCCUCGCAGCAACCUCUGUGGACUCGGCUCCUGCCCAGCUUCCAGCGGCGUUUGUAGGCCAGAAAGCUCAGACCAUCGACUCAGACUCUCCAGGCCCACCCUGCUCAUGCCUCACGAGUGGCCUCUCCAGGCUCGGCUCCUGCCCGCCAAGGGCAUCUCCAGGCCCCAGACGUUCCCGAGUCGGCCUCUGCCGACCCGGCUCCUGCUGCCUCCUCCUCCUGGCCUCGGGAGGCCCAAGCAUUGGGUCCUGAAGUCGGCCUCUCCAGGCCCAGCUCCUGCUCUCCUGGUGUCUCCUCCUCACGGGUGCAAAACAUCCUCACAUGGGUGCCUCCAGGGCCAGCUGCUGCCUCCCAACGGCCCACUGGGGCCCAGCUUCUGCCUCCCCUCUGCCUCUCCGGGAGGUCCAGCCUAUGCCUCCCUUCUGGCGGCCUCCCCAGAUCCUCCUCCUGGCCUCGUCUACUGGACCACGUCCUGCCUCCCGGCAGCUGCUUUUUGUUCGGCUCCUGACCAGCUUCCAGCGGCCUUUCUUCUGUAGGCCCGAAGCUUUCUCAAGUGGGGCUUUCUGGGCCUCCAUUCUGCCUUCUGGUGGCCUUGACAGGCCCUGCCACCACCUGACAUUGGCCCCUCCGGGCCCAGCUGUGGACUCUCUACAGACUCCCCAGCCCCAGCUGCUGCCUGCUGGUGACUUCCCCAGACCCAGAUUCUGCCUGCCUGCCUGCAUUCUGGCUGCAUCCACAGGCCCAGCGCCCCCCUCACAGUGGCCCAUUGGGGCCCAGCUCGUGCUUGUGGCAAAGCUCUCCGGUCCCAGCUCUCGCCUCACUCUUGCCUUGAGUCUAUGCCCAGGCGCUCCCUCUCAGGGGUCUUCCUCAGCCCAGCUCGCCUGUCACGGACUCUCCCGGGCGAGCUCCUGCCUCCCGGCAGCCUGUCCAGGCCCAAAGCUUUCUCUCCGGGCCCGUCCUCCCCAGGUUCAGCUCCUGCCUGCGCCAGCCCCAUACCGGGCCCAGCCUCCGCCUUUCAGUGGACCCUUUGGGCCUAGCUGGUGGCAUCGCCAUGGCCUGUGCUCAGGCCCAGCUCCUGCCUCUGUGGCAGCCUGUAUCCCCAGGCCCCGCCUCCAGCCUCCUUGUGGCCCCAUCGGGCCAAGCCGGUGCCUCCCGGUGGCCCUCCCGGGCCCAGCAUUGGCCUGCUGGCAUCCUCUUAGGGCCCAGAACGUCUUCAGGUAGGCCUUUUGGGGCCCAGCUCCUCCUCUUGGCCGUGUCUACGGGCUCAACUCUUGAAUUUGCCCCGCAGCCACCUCUGGGGACUCGGUUCCUCCCCAGCUCCUGGCGGCCUUUGUAGGCCCGAAAGCUCAGGCCCUCGACUCAGGCUCUCCAGGCACACGCAGCUCAUGUCUCACACUGGCCUCUCCAGGCUAGGCUCCUGCCCUCCAAGGGCAUCUCCAGGCCUCAGAUGUUCCCGAGUCUGCGUCACCUGGCCCGGCUCCUGCUACCUCAUCCUGCUGGCCUCGGGAGGUUCAAGCAUUGGGUCCCGAAGUCCAUCUCUGCAGGCCCAGCUUCUGCCUUCCCAGCGGCCCUUCAAUACUGGCGCAAUAAGUCGUCAUGUUGGCUUCUCCAGGACAAGCUCCUGCCUCCGAGCGGCCACCUUGGACACAGCUCCUGCCUUCCGUCAUCCUCUUCGGGAGGCCCAGCCUCUGCCUCCCUCCUGGCGGCCCCCGCACUAUCGGAUCGUCCUCCUGGCUGCAUCUACCGGCGGACGUUUUCCCCCCUGGCAGCCUCUUUAGGCUCAGCUCCUGGCCAGCUCCCCAUGGCCUUUCGUCUGUCUGCCCGCAGCUUCCUCGGGACUUUCAGGGUGUCCCUUCUGCCUCCCGGUGGCCUCCACAGGCCCAGAUACAUCCUGACAUCAGCCUCUCCAUGCCCAGUUCUGGCCCCCCCUACGGCACCCCCAGCACCAUCCACUGUCUGCCGACCGCUUCCCCAGGUUAAGAUCCUGCCUACCUCCGGACUUCAUCACACAAACCCAGCGCCUCCCUCACACUGGCCAGUUGAGGCCCAGCUUGGCCUCUAGCAGAUGUCUCUGGAGCCAGCUCCUGCCAGGUGCUGGCCCUGAGUCUGGGCCCAGGUCCUCCCUCGCACCGGCGUUUCUUGGCCCAGCUAGCCUCUCAUAAACUCUCCGGCCAGCUCCUGCCGUCCAGCGGCCUGUCCAGGCCCAAAGCUUCCUCUCCGGGCCCGGCCUCUCCAGGCCUGGCUGCUGCCUGCCACAGGCCCCUCUGGGCCCAGGCUCCACUUCUCAGUGGACCCUCCAGGCCCAGCUCGUGGCAUUACCAUGGUUGCUCAGGUCCCGCUCCUGCUUCUGUGGCAGGCUGUAUCCACAGGCCUUACCCCCGGCCUUCCCAUGGCCCCGUCGGGCCAAGCCAGUGCAUCCCAGUGGUCGUCCUGGGCCCAGCGUUGGCCUUCUGGCAUCCUGUCCAUGUCCGGAACGUCUUCAGGUCAGCUUCUUGGGGCCCAGCUCCUCCUCACCGCGGCGUCUGCAGGCCCAACGUGCGAAUUUGCCUCGCAGUAACCUCUGUGGACUCGGCUCCUGCCCAGCUUCCAGCGGCGUUUGUAGGCCAGAAAGCUCAGACCAUCGACUCAGACUCUCCAGGCCCACCCUGCUCAUGCCUCACGAGUGGCCUCUCCAGGCUCGGCUCCUGCCCGCCAAGGGCAUCUCCAGGCCCCAGACGUUCCCGAGUCGGCCUCUGCCGACCCGGCUCCUGCUGCCUCCUCCUCCUGGCCUCGGGAGGCCCAAGCAUUGGGUCCUGAAGUCGGCCUCUCCAGGCCCAGCUCCUGCUCUCCUGGUGUCUCCUCCUCACGGGUGCAAAACAUCCUCACAUGGGUGCCUCCAGGGCCAGCUGCUGCCUCCCAACGGCCCACUGGGGCCCAGCUUCUGCCUCCCCUCUGCCUCUCCGGGAGGUCCAGCCUAUGCCUCCCUUCUGGCGGCCUCCCCAGAUCCUCCUCCUGGCCUCGUCUACUGGACCACGUCCUGCCUCCCGGCAGCUGCUUUUUGUUCGGCUCCUGACCAGCUUCCAGCGGCCUUUCUUCUGUAGGCCCGAAGCUUUCUCAAGUGGGGCUUUCUGGGCCUCCAUUCUGCCUUCUGGUGGCCUUGACAGGCCCUGCCACCACCUGACAUUGGCCCCUCCGGGCCCAGCUGUGGACUCUCUACAGCCUCCCCAGCCCCAGCUGCUGCCUGCUGGUGACUUCCCCAGACCCAGAUUCUGCCUGCCUGCCUGCCUGCCUGCGUUCUGGCUGCAUCCACAGGCCCAGCGCCCCCCUCACAGUGGCCCAUUGGGGCCCAGCUCGUGCUUGUGGCAAAGCUCUCCGGUCCCAGCUCUCGCCUCACUCUUGCCUUGAGUCUAGGCCCAGGCGCUCCCUCUCAGGGGUCUUCCUCAGCCCAGCUCGCCUGUCACGGACUCUCCCGGGCCAGCUCCUGCCUCCCGGCAGCCUGUCCAGGCUCAAAGCUUUCUCUCUGAGCCCGUCCUCCCCAGGCCCAGCUCCUGCGUAUGCCAGGCCCAUACCGGGCCCAGCCUCCGCCUUUCAGUGGACCCUUUGGGCCUAGCUGGUGGCAUCACCGUGGCCUGUGCUCAGGCCCAGCUCCUGCCUCUGUGGCAGCCUGUAUCCCCAGGCCCCGCCUCCAGCCUCCCCGUGGCCCCAUCGGGCCAAGCCGAUGCCUCCCGGCGGCCGUCCCGGGCCCAGCAUUGGCCUGCUGGCAUCCUCUCCGGGCCCAGAACAUCUUCAGGUAGGCCUUUUGGGGCCCAGCUCCUCCUCUUGGCCGUGUCUACGGGCUCAACUCUUGAAUUUGCCCCGCAGCCACCUCUGGGGACUCGGUUCCUCCCCAGCUCCUGGUGGCCUUUGUACGCCCGAAAGCUCAGGCCCUCGACUCAGGAUCUCCAGGCACACCCAGUUCAUGUCUCACACUGGCCUCUCCAGGCUAGGCUCCUGCCCUCCAAGGGCAUCUCCAGGCCUCAGAUGUUCCCGAGUCUGCGUCACCUGGCCCGGCUCCUGCUACCUCAUCCUGCUGGCCUCGGGAGGUUCAAGCAUUGGGUCCCGAAGUCCAUCUCUGCAGGCCCAGCUUCUGCCUUCCCAGCGGCCCUUCAGUAUUGGCACAAGAAGUCGUCACAUUUGCUUCUCCAGGACAAGCUCCUGCCUCCGAGCGGCCCCCUGGGACACAGCUCCUGCCUUCCGUCAUCCUCUUUGGGAGGAUGCCUCUGCCUCCCUCCCUCCUGGCAGCCCCCGCACAAUCGGAUCGUCCUCCUCCUGCUUCUACCGGCGGACGUUUUUCCCCCUGCAGCCUCUUUAGGCUUAGCUCCUGGCCAGCUCCCCAUGGCCUUUCGUCUGUCAGCCCGAAGCUUCCUCGGGUAUUUCGGGGUGUCCCUUCUGCCUCCCGGUGGCCUCCACAGGCCCAGAUAUAUCCUGACAUCGGCCUCUCCAUGCCCAGUUGUGGCCUCCCUACGGCACCCCCAGCACCAUCCACUGUCUGCCGACCGCUUCCCCAGGUUAAGAUCCUGCCUACCUCCGGACUUCGUCACACAAACCCAGCGCCUCCCUCACACUGGCCAGUUGAGGGCCAGCUUGGCCUCUAGCAGAUGUCUCUGGAGCCAGCCCUUGCCUGGUGCUGGCCCUGAGUCUGGGCCCAGGUCCUCCCUCGCACUGGCGUUUCUCGGCCCAGCCAGCCUCUCAUAAACUCUCCGGCCAGCUCCUGCCUCCCAGCGGCCCGUCCAGGCCCAAAGCUUCCUCUCCGGGCCCAGCCUCUCCAGGCCUGGCUUCUGCCUGCACCAGGCCCCUCUGGGCCCAGCCUCUACUUUUCAGUGGACCCUCCAUACCCAGCUCGUGGCCUCAUUGUGGCCUCCGCUCAGCCCAGCUCCUGCCUCUGUGGCAGCCUGUCUCCACGGUUUCAGCUCUUGGCCUUCUGGUGGCUCCCUCGGACCAAACCAGUACCCCCAGGCGGCCCCCCGUGCCCAGUGUUGGGCUUCUGGCAUCCUCUCCUUGUCCAGAAUUUCUACAGGUCAUCUGCUUGACAUUGGCUUUUAAGGGCCAACCUUCCAGUCUCGCCUUGCAUCAGCCUCUGUGGACUCAUCUCCUUUCCAGCUCCCGGAGGCCUUUGUAGAACUGAAAGCUCCGGCCCUUGAAUGAGGCUCUCCAGGACUACCCAGCUCAUGCCUCACGCUAGCCUCUCCAGGCUCAGCUUCUGCCCACCCAGGCUGCCUGUAGGCCCCAGAUGUCCUAGAGUCGGCUUCUCCAGAUGUCCCAGAGUCGGCUUCUCCAGGCCCAGCUUCAGACUCCUCCUUUUGGCCUCUGCAGGCCCAAGCAUUGUGUUCUCAAUUCAGCCUCUUCAGGCCCUGCUCCAGUUCUCCUGGCGUCUCCUCCCCAUGGGCGCAAAACGUCGUCACCUGGGCCCUACUAGUGUCACCUCGUGCCUCCCAAAGGCCCUCUGUGCUUAGCUCCUACCUCCCAUCAGCCUCUCCUGGACACCCAGCCUCCGCCUUCCUACUGGUGGCCUAUCCAGGCCUGGAUCCUCCUCCUGGCCACAUCUAAGGGCCCAGGUUUUGCCCCCGGCAGCCUUUUUUGUUUGUUUGUUUGUUUUCUUAGUUGGAGUUUGGCUCUUGUUACCCAGGCGCGAGUGCAAUGGUGUGAUCUCGGCUCACCUCAACCUCCGCCUCCUGGGUUCAGGCAAUUCUCCUGCCUCAGCCUCCUGAGUGGCUUGGAUUACAGGCAUGCGCAACCAUGCCUAGCUAAUUUUUUGAUUUUUUUUUUUUUUCAGAUGGAGUUUCGCUCUUGUUACCCAGGCCGGAGUAGACUGGCACUCUCUUGGCUCACUACAACCUCCACCUCCUGGGUUCAGGAAAUUCUCCUGCCUCAGCCACCUGAGUAGCUGGGAUUACACGCAGGCACCACCGUGCCCAGCUGAUGUUUUUUUUUUUUGAGACAAAGUUUCGCUGUUGUUGUCCAGGCUGGAGUGCAAUGGUUUUACCUCUGCUUACCACAACCUCCGCCUCCUGGGUUCAGGCAAUUCUCCUUCAGCCUCCUGAAUUGCUGGGAUUACAGGCAUGCGCCACCAUGCUCAGCUAAUUUUUGUAUUUUUAGUAGAGAUGGGGUUUCACCAUGUUGAUCAGGAUGGUCUCGAUCUCCUGACCUCGUGAUCCACCCACCUCGGCCUCCCAAAGUGUUGGGAUUACAGGCCUGAGCCACCACGCCUGGUCCCCAGCAGCCUCUUUUGGCUACGCUCCUGGCCAGCUCCUGGCAGCCUUUCGUCUGUCGUUCCGAAGCUUCCUCAGGUGGGGCCUUCCAGGCGUCCCUUCUGCCUCCUGGUGGCCUCAACAGAAGGGACACCCAGAAGGCCCCACCUGAGGAAGCUUCGGGCAGACAGACAAAAGGCCGCCAGGAGCUGGCCAGGAGCCAAGCCAAAAGAGGCUGCCGGGGGCAAAACUUGGGCCCGUAGAUGUGGCCAGGAGGAGGUUCCAGGCCUGGUGAGGCUGCCAGUAGGGAGGCAGAGGCUGGGCCUCCUGGAGAGGCCACCUGAUGGGAAUCAGGACCUGGGCCCCAGGGGGUCACUGGGACGCAGGAGCUGGCCCUGGAGGGCACCACGUGAUGAUGUAUUACGCCCAAGUUGGGGGGUGCGGCCGGGAGGGCAGGAGCUGGACCUGCAGACGCGGACUUCAUGACCCAAUGCUUGGGCCUCCCGAGGCCAGCGGGAGGACAAAGCAGAACUGGGCCUCAGGGCCGGGCUCUGGACUCCCCGCAGCCUCCCCAGCCCCAGCUGCUGCCUGCUGGCUGCUUCCGCAGGCCAAGAUCUUGCCUGCCUGCCCGCCUGCAUCCCGGCUGCAUCCACAGGACCAGCGCCUCUCUCAGACUGGCCCGUUGAGGCCCAAUUCAUGCCUCUGAAAGACAUCUCUGGAGCCAGGUCUUGCCUGGUGCUGGCCUUGAGUCUGGGCCCAGGUCCUCCCUUGUACCAGCCUUUCUUGGCCCAGCUCGUCUUUCAUAAACUCUCCGGCCAGCUCCUGCCUCCCAGUGGCCUGUGCAGGCCCAAAGCUUCCUCUCCGGGCCCGGCCUCUCCAGGCCUGGCUUCUGCCUGUGCUAGGACCCUCGGGGCCCAGCCUCCGCCUCACAGUGGACCCUCCAGACCCAGCUCGUGGCCUCCGCUCAGCCCAGCUCCUGCCUCUGUGGCAGCCUGUCUCCACAGGCCCAGCUUCUGGCCUCCUGGUGGCCCCCUCAGGCCAAACAGGUGCCCUCAGGUGGCCCUCCUGGGAGUUUCACUCGUUACUCAGAGUGGAGUAGAAUGGCGCGAUCUUGGCUCACCUCAACCUCCGCCUCCUGGGUUCGGGCAAUUCUCCUGCCUCAGCCUGCUGAGUAGCUGGGAUUACAGGCACGUGCCCAGCAUUGGCCUUCUGGCAUCCUCUCCUCGUCCAGAAUGUCUUCAGGUCAGCCUCUUGGGGCCCAGCCCCUCCUUCCAGCGGCUUCUAAGGGCCAACCUUCCGGUCUCCCCUCGCAGCAACGUCUGUGGACUCGGCUCCUCCCCAGCUCCCAGAGGCCUUUGUAGACCUGAAAGCUCAGGCCCUCGACUCAGGCUCUCCAGGACUACCCGGCUCAUGCCUCACACUGGCCUCUCCAGGCUCAGCUUCUGCCCACCCAGGCUGCCUGUAGGCCCCAGAUGUCCCAGAGUCGGCUUCUCCAGGCCCGGCUCCGGACUCCUCCUAUUGGCCUCUGCAGGCCCAAGCAUUGGGUUCUCAAUUUGGCCUCUCCAGGCCCAGCUUCAGUUCUCCUGGCAUCUCCUCCCCGUGGGUGCAAAACAUCAUCACGUGGGCCCUUCUAGGGCCAGCUCAUGCCUCCCAAAGUGCCCCUGGGCUUAGCUCCUGCCUCCCAUCAGCCUCUCCUGGAGGCCCAUCCUCUGCCUCCAUACUGGCGGCCUCUCCAGGCCGGGAUCCUCCUCCUGGCCACGUCUACAGGCCCAGGUUUUACCCCCGGCAGCCUCUUUUUUUUUUUUUUUUUUUUUUUUUUUGAGUGUCUUCUUACUCAGGCGCGAGUACAAUGGUGUGAUCUCGGCUCACCGCAACCUCCGCCUCCUGGGUUCAGGCAAUUCUCCUGCCUCAGCCUCCUGAGUAGCUGGGAUUACAGGCACGCAGCACCAUGCCCAGCUAAUUUUUUUUUUUUUUUUUUUUUUUUUUGAGACGGAGUUUCGCUCUUGUUGCCCAGGCUAGAGUGCAAUGGCUCGGUCUCGGUUCACCGCAACCUCCGCCUCCCAGGUUCAGGCAAUUCUUUUGCUUCAGCCUGCUGAGUAGCUGGGAUUACAGGCACACGCCACCAUGCCUAGCUAAUUUUUUGUAUUUUUAGUAGAGAUGGGGUUUCACAAUGUUGACCAGGAUGGUCUCGAUCUGACCGUGUGAUCCACCCGCCUUGGCCUCCCAAAGUGCUGGGAUUACAGGCCUGAGCCACCGCGCCUGGUCCCCAACAGCGUCUUGUGGCUCGGCUCCUGGCCAGCUUCCAGAGGCUUUUCGUCUGUCAGCCCGAAGCUUUCUGAGGUGGGGCCUUCUGGGUGUCCCUUCUGUUGAGGCCACUGGGAGGCAGAAGGGAUGCCCAGAAGGCCCCACCUGAGGAAGCUUCGGGCCGACGGACGAAAGGCCGCCAGGAGCUGGUCAGGGGUCGAGCCAAAAGAGACUGCUGGGGGCAAAACUUGGGCCCAUAGACGUGGCCGGGAGGAGGUUCCAGGCCUGGUGAGGCUGCUAGUACGGAGGCAGGGGCUGGCCCUCCUGGAGAGGCCACCUGAUGGGAAUUAGGACCUGGGCCCCAAGGGGCCACUGGGACGCAGGACCUGGCCCUGGAGGGGACCACGUUGAUGAUGUAUUGCGCCCAUGUUGGGGGGUGCCGCCGGGAGGGCAGGAGCUGGACCUGCAGACGCGGACUUCAUGACCCAAUGCUUGGGCCUCCCAAGGCCAGCAGGAGGACAAAGCAGGACUGGGCCUCAGGGCCGGGCUCUGGACUCCCCGCAGCCUCCCCAGCACCAGCUGCUGCCUGCUGGCUGCUUCCGCAGGCCAAGAUCUUGCCUGCCUGCCUGCCUGCAUCCCGGCUGCAUCCACAGGCCCAGUGCCUCCCUCACACUGGCCAGUUGAGGCCCAAUUCAUGCCUCUGAAAGACGUCUCUGGAGCCAGCUCUCGCCUCGUGCUGGCCUUGAGUCUGGGCCCAGGUCCUCCCUCACACCGGCCUUUCUUGGCCCAGCUCGUCUCUCAUAAACUCUCCGGCCAGCUCCUGCCUCCCAGCGGCCUGUCCAGGUCCAAAGCUUUGUCUCCAGGCCCGGCCUCUCCAGGCCCGGCUUCUGCCUGUGCUAGGCCCCUCCGGGCCCAGGUUCCACCUCUCAGUGGACCCUCCAGACCCAGCUCGUGGCCUCAUCGUGGUCUCCGCUCAGCCCAGCUCCUGCCUCUGUGAGAGCCUGUCUCCACAGGCCCAGCUCCUUGCCUCCCGGUGGCCCCCUCAGGCCAACCCGGUGCCCACAGAAGGAUCUCCCGUGCUUAGCAUUGGCCUUCUGGCAUCCUCUCCUUGUCCAGAAUGUCUUCAGGUCAGCCUCUUGGGGCCCAGCCCCUUCUUCCGGCGGCUUCUAAGGGCCAACCUUCCGUUCUUGCCUCGCAGCAACGUCCGUGGACUCAGCUCCUCCACAGCUCCCGGAGGCCUUUGUAGGCCCGAAAGCUCAGGCCCUCGACUCGGGCUCUCCAGGACUACCCGGCUCAUGCCUCACACUGGCCUCUCCAGGCUCAGCUUCUGCCCACCCAGGGUGCCUCUAGGCCCCAGAUGUCCCAGAGUCGGCUUCUCCAGGCCCGGAUUCGGACUCCUCCUAUUGGCCUCUGCAGGCCCAAGCAUUGGGUUCUCAAUUCGGCCUCUCUAGGCCCAGCUCCAGUUCUCCUGGCAUCUCCUCCCCAUGGGUGCAAAACGUCAUCACGUGGGCCCUUCUAGGGCCAGCGAAUGCCUCCCAAAGUCCCCUUGUGCUUAGCUCCUGUCUCCCAUCAGCCUCUCCUUGAGGCCCAUCUACUGCCUCAGUACUGGUGGCCUCUCCAGGCCGGGAUCCUCCUCCUGGCCACCUCUACGGGUCCAAGUUUUGCCCUUGGCAGCCUCUUUUUUUUUUUUUUUGAGACGGAGUUUUGUUCAUGUAACCCAGGCGCAAGUGCAAUGGCGUGAUCUCAGCUCACCUCAACCUACACCUCCUGGGUUCAGGCAAUUCUCCUCCUUCAGCCUCCUGAGAAGCUGGGAUUACAGGCACACACCACCAUGCCCAGCUAAUUUUUUGUUUUUUGUUUUUUUUUUUGAGACGGAGUUACACUCUUGUUACCCAGGGUGGAGUAGAAUAGUGCGAUCGUGGCUCACCACAACCUCCUUCUCCUGGGUUCAGGCAAUUCUCCUGCCUCAGCUUCCUGAGUAGCUGGGGUUACAGGCACGCGUCACUGUGCCCAGCUACUUUUUUUUUUUUGAGACAGAGUAUCGCUCUUGUUGCCCAAGCUGGAGUGCAAUGGCUUGGUCUCGGUUCACCGCAACCUCCGUCUCCUGGGUUCAGGUAAUUCUCCUGCCUCAGCCUCCUGAGUAGCUGGGAUUACAGGCACACGCCACCAUGCCCAGCUAAUUUUUUGUAUUUUUAGUAGAGACGGGGUUUUACCAUGUUGACCAGGAUGGUAUCGAUCUCCUGACCUCGUGAAUCACCCGCCUCAGCCUCCCAAAGUGCUGGGAUUACAGGCCUGAGCCACCGCGCCUGGUCCCCAGCAGCGUCUUUUGGCUACGCUCCUGGCCGGCUCCUGGCGGCCUUUUAUCUGUCGGCCCAAAGCUUCCUCAGGUAGGGCCUGUCAGGCGUCCCUUCUGCCUCCCGGUGGCCUCAACAGAAGGGACACCCAGAAGGCCCCACCUGAGGAAGCUUCGGCCAACAGACGAAAGGCCGCCAGGAGCUGGCCAGGAGCCAAGCCAAAAGAGGCUGCCGGGGGCAAAACUUGGGCCCAUAGACGUGCCCCGGAGGAGGUUCCAGGCCUGGUGAGGCUGCCAGUAGGGAGGCAGAGGCUGGGCCUCCUGGAGAGCCCACCUGAUGGGAACCAGGACCUGGGCCCCAGGGGGCCACUGGGACGCAGGACCUGGCCCUGGAGGGGACCAAGUGAUGAUGUAUUGUGCCCACGUUGGGGGGUGUGGCCGGGAGGGCAGGAGCUGGACCUGCAGAUGCGGACUUCAUGACCCAAUUCUUGGGCCUCCCAAGGCCAGUGGGAGGACAAAGCAGGACUGGGCCUCAGGGCCGGGCUCUGGACUCCCCGCAGCCUCCCCAGCCCCAGCUGCUGCCUGCUGGAUGCUUCCGCAGGCCAAGAUCUUGCCUGCCUGCCUGUGUCCCGGCUGCAUUUACAGGCCUAGUGCCUCCCUCACACUGGCCAGUUGAGGCCCAAUUCAUGCCUCUGAAAGACAUCUCUGGAGCCAGCUCUCACCUGAUCCUGGCCUUGAGUCUGGGCCCAGGUCCUCCCUCGCACCAGCCUUUCUCCAUGCAGCUCACCUGUCACGGACUCUUCCGGGCCAGCUCCUGCCUCCCGGCAGCCUGUCCAGGCCCAAAGCUUCCUCUCUGGACUCAGCCUCUUCACACCGGGCUCCUUCCUAUGCUGGGCCCCUCUGGGCCCAGCCUCUGCUUCUCAGAGGACCUUUCAGACCCAGCUUCUGUCUUUGUGGCAGCCUGUUUCCACAGCUUCAGCCCCUAGCCUCCUCAUAGACCCCUGGGAGGCAGUGGCUCAGCCCUGCCAGGCCCAGGGUUGGCCUACUGGCAUUUUCUUUGUGUCCAGAACGUCUUCAGAUAGGCCUCUCGGGGCCCAGCGCCUCCUCUCGACAGCAUCUAACGGCCCAACUUCUGAAUCUGCCUCGCAGCAACCUCUAUGGACUCGGCUCCUGCCCAGCUCCCGACGGCCUUUGUAGGCCGGAAAGCUCAGACUAUUGACUCUGGCUUUCCAGGCCCACCCGGCUGAUGCCUCACAAGUGGCCUCUCCAGGCUCGGCUCCUGCCCUCCGAGGGCAUCUCCAGGCCCCAGAUGUUCCCGAGUCGGCUUCUAUCAGCCUGGCUCCUGCUGUCUCCUCCUGCUGGCCUCGGGAGGCCCAAGCAUUGGGUCCUGAAAUCAGCCUCUGCAGGCUUAGCUCCUGCCCUCCUGGUGUCUCCUCCCCAUGGGUGCAAAACACCCUCACAUGGGUGCCUCCAGGGCCAGCUGCUGCCUCCCAACGGCCCCCUGGGGCCCAGCUGCUGCCUCCCUUCAGCCUUUCUGGGAGGUCCAGCCCGUGCCUCCCUUCUCGCGGCCUCCCUAGGCCCGGAUCCUCUUCCUGGCCUCGUCUACUGGACCACGUCCUGCCUCCCGGCAGCUGCUUUGCUCUGGGCUCCUGACCAGCUUCCAGUGGCCUUUCUUCUGUAGGCCCGAAGCUUUCUCAAGUGGGGAUUUCUGGGCCUCCGUUCUGCCUCCUGGUGGCCUUGACAGGCCCUGCUGCCACCUGACAUUGGCCCCUUCCGGGCCCAGCUCUGGACUCUCUACAGCCUCCCCAGCACCAACUGCUGCCUGCUGGCGGCUUCUUCAGACCAAGAUCCUGCCUGCCUAUCGGGGACAUUAGGCCAAGGCAAGGAGACUGAAAGGGCCUCUGCAGCCAUCUUUUCCCUCGGGCAGAAUCAUGAGGCAGCAGUGUGGGUCCUUGUGUGGUUGACACUCCCCAUCUUGCCCUGCAGAGGCCGGACUUCACAGACGCCAUCAUUCUCCGGAAAGGGGUCUCUGGAGCACGUGCUGGAGUCUUGCUUUGUCACCCAGGCUGGAGUAUAGUGCCACGAUCCUCCACCUCCCAGGUUCAAACAAUUCUCCUGCUUCAGGCUCCUGAGUACCUGGGAUUACAGGCAUGCACACUAUGUCUGGCUAAUUUUUAUAUAUUCAGUAGUGAUGAGGUUUCACCAUGUUGGCCAGGCUGGUCUUGAACUCCUGACCUCAUGAUCCUCCCGCUUCAACCUCCCAAAGUGCUGGGAUUACAGGCAUGAGCCACUGCACCUGGCCUCCUCCUGUAUACUUUAAAUCAUCUUUAGAUUACUUAUAAUACCCAACACAAUAUAAAUGCUAUGUAAAUAGUUUUUAUAUAUUUUAAAAUUUGUAAUAUUUUUUAUUAUUUUUUUCUGAAUAUUUUUAACCCUUGGUUGGUUGAAUAUGUGGAUGCAAAACUUGCAGAUUUGGAGGGCUGACUGUACCUACUUUUUAUGGUUGUUGGGAGGAUUAACACAGCAAAUGUGUAGACAGAUAUUGCAUGGUAUGAAAUGAACCCUCUGUAAUCGCUACCUGUUAGUGUCCUUUCACUUUUAUCGGGAUGAGGUUAGCAUCUUUUUGAAUAAUGCACUUUAGAAAGGAGGCCUCAAUGUAAAAAUGGUUCUCACUUUUUGAGAAAAGAGCUGAUUAGAAUACAAAAGAAAUUGCCAUUGUGGGAAAAUGGUCUGCAAUCAUGGUCACAUUUCUAUGGUCUCUUUUUAAAAAUCAGAUCUGUGGCGUUGCCAUUUCCUUCUGCCUUUUGUGAGUUUAGGUUUGAUGUGCUUCGGGGCUUUGAUUGGACUUUGCGCUUGCAUUUGCCGAAGCUUAUAUCCCACCAUCGCCACGGGCAUUCUCCAUCUCCUUGCAGGUCUGUGUACACUGGGCUCAGUAAGUUGUUACGUUGCUGGAAUCGAACUACUCCACCAGAAACUUGAGCUCCCUGAGAAUGUAUCAGGUGAAUUUGGAUGGUCCUUCUGCCUGGCUUGUGUCUCAGCUCCCUUACAGUUCAUGGCUUCUGCUCUCUUCAUCUGGGCUGCUCACACCAACCGGAAAGAGUACACCUUAAUGAAGGCAUAUCGUGUGGCAUGAGCAAGAAACUGCCUGCUUUACAGUUGCCAUUUUAUUUUUUUAAAAUAAUACUGAUACUUUCCUCGCCUCUC